GUACAUGCCUACACCAUAGCGUUAAUGCAUCGGAUCUCAUUAUAACUCCAUAGUUAAGCAUUCUCGGGCUAUAUUAGUAUUGGGAUGGGUGAUCGCCUGGGAAGUACUAGUGUUUUACAUG
rnacentral:rRNA from 1 species